GACAGAGGGUGCAAACGUUGUUCGGAAUUACUGGGCGUAAAGCGCGUGUAGGCUGCUUGGAAAGUCGGGUGUGAAAGCCCUGAGCUCAACUCAGGAAGUGCACUCGAAACUUCCGAGCUCGAGUCCUGGAGAGGGUGGCGGAAUUCUCGGUGUAGAGGUGAAAUUCGUAGAUAUCGAGAGGAACACCAGUGGCGAAGGCGGGUCUCUGGGCAGUAACUGACGCUGAGGAGCGAAAGCGUGGGGAGCGAACAGG
rnacentral:rRNA from 1 species